rnacentral:ribozyme from 14 species
UAUAUAUAUCCUACUCACCCAAUUUCUUCUUAUGUAGGCUGUGUUUUGUCUUUCAUUUUCCAUCUGAUUGUAUGUGUCUGUCUUUUGACAUUAUACCAGUUGGUCCGAGUUCAUGUUUGUGUCUUUAAAAAAAGAAAAAAAGAAAAGAAAAU